rnacentral:rRNA from 1 species
UACGUAGGUGACAAGCGUUAUCCGGAUUUAUUGGGCGUAAAGGGCGCGUAGGCGGCCUUCUAAGUCAGACGUGAAAUCCCCCGGCUUAACCUGGGAACUGCGUCUGAUACUGGGAGGCUUGAGUAUGGGAGAGGGAUGUAGAAUUCCAGGUGUAGCGGUGAAAUGCGUAGAUAUCUGGAGGAAUACCGGUGGCGAAGGCGGCAUCCUGGACCAUAACUGACGCUGAGGCGCGAAAGCUAGGGGAGCAAACAGG